rnacentral:rRNA from 1 species
GGCGGCGUGCUUAACACAUGCAAGUCAAGGGGGCCCGCAAGGGCAACCGGCGAACGGGUGCGUAACACGUGAGCAAGCUUCCGAUUUGUGGGGGAUAGCCGGCCCAACGGCCGGGUAAUACCGCAUACCUUCACUGGACGGCAUCGUCUGGUGAGGAAACCUCCGGGGCAAAUCGAGGCGCUCGCGGCCUAUCAGCUAGUUGGCGGGGUAAUGGCCCACCAAGGCUAUGACGGGUAGCUGGUCUGAGAGGAUGGCCAGCCACAUUGGGACUGCGACACGGCCCAGACUCCUACGGGAGGCAGCAGUGGGGAAUAUUGCGCAAUGGACGAAAGUCUGACGCAGCGACGCCGCGUGUGGGAUGAAGCCUUUCGGGGCGUAAACCACUGUUGCCCGGGACGAACAUCCCCUUUCGAGGGGACUGACGGUACCGGGUGAGGAAGCACCGGCUAACUCUGUGCCAGCAGCCGCGGUAAUACAGAGGGUGUGAGCGUUGUCCGGAAUCACUGGGCGUAAAGGGCGCGUAGGUGGCUUGGUAAGCGUGUGGUGAAAGUCCGGGGCUCAACCCCGGAUCUGCCGUGCGAACUGCUGAGCUCGAGCGAUGUAGAGGCAGGUGGAAUUUCGGGUGUAGCGGUGGAAUGCGUAGAUAUCCGAAAGAACACCAGUGGCGAAGGCGGCCUGCUGGGCAUCAGCUGACACUGAGGCGCGACAGCGUGGGGAGCAAACAGGAUUAGAUACCCUGGUAGUCCACGCCGUAAACGAUGGGUACUAGGUGUCUGGGGGAGCGACCCCCUGGGUGCCGGCGCUAACGCAUGAAGUACCCCGCCUGGGGAGUACGGCCGCAAGGCUGAAACUCAAAGGAAUUGACGGGGGCCCGCACAAGCGGUGGAGCAUGUGGUUUAAUUCGACGCAACGCGAAGAACCUUACCUAGGCUUGACAUGCUGGAGAAAGCUCGCAGAAACGUGAGCCCCUCUUCGGAGUUCCAGCACAGAUGCUGCAUGGCUGUCGUCAGCUCGUGUCGUGAGAUGUUGGGUUAAGUCCCGCAACGAGCGCAACCCUCACUCUUAGUUACCAGCGGGUAAAGCCGGGGACUCUAGGGGGACUGCCGGUGCCAAACCGGAGGAAGGUGGGGAUGACGUCAAGUCAUCAUGGCUCUUACGUCUAGGGCUACACACGUGCUACAAUGGGCCGGACAGAGGGUCGCCAACUCGCGAGAGUGAGCCAAUCCCCAAACCGGUCCUCAGUUCGGAUUGCAGUCUGCAACUCGACUGCAUGAAGCUGGAAUCGCUAGUAAUCGUGGAUCAGCUACGCCACGGUGAAUACGUUCCCGGGCCUUGUACACACCGCCCGUCACACCAUGGGAGUUGAUUGCACCAGAAGCAGGUAGCCUGACCGCAAGGAGGGCGCUUACCACGGUGUGGUUAAUGACUGGGGUGA